GUUCAAUGAGUUUUCAUAGUUUUCUGAGACAUUCAGAAUAUUUAACUAUUUUUCAAAAGUUGCUUAUCAUCUCAUCUGCCUAAAUAUUUUAUGUGGCCCACACUCUCUCAACUUACUGCCUCCUCCUCAUACUGCCAGAAGCUUAACCCUGUUCACCAUUUUCUAACUGAUUCUUUCGGAGAUAACUGUAAAUUCCAUGUUUGAGCCUCAUGAUGACUUCCAUGGAGUUUAAUAGCUGACAGAAAACUAAGUUUGGAGGGCAAACUGCCAUACGAAAAUGUGGAAAGACAGAUGAAUCUGCAGAGUCAAAGACAAGAUCUGCUUACCUGGAGCAGAAGCCAUAAACUGAGAAACUGGACUUCAACAGAAAGGGAGAAAUAAAGACUAUCCCAGGCUCUGAAAGACAUACGAAAGUAACUUCUUCAGGGAGAAGGAAAAUCAUAUAGAUAUCUGAAAAAUGAAAAAGAAAGACAUGUUAUUUUCUGGAGAUGGGGAGACAAGUGAACAGAUGUGGAGUUUACUGAAGCUUCAAAGAGUAAUUCAAUCCAGAUUGUGAAGAAGUCUUAGUGCCAAUUGCUCUGGCAGCCAUGUUAUGACCAUGAGACAAUCAGCCAUAGAAAGAAAUAUUCUGCAUGAUAGUUUAGA